GAAAUAGGUAAGACGUGUGGGUGAGAACCGUAAAGGUUCGAGUCGAGCGAAAGCGAGACAACGUUGCGCAGCAACGGCCCGAAGGGCGAGGCGAAAGCCGAGUCAUCCCGCACGACCCACCA
rfam:Moellerella wisconsensis ATCC 35017 Sequence00085, whole genome shotgun sequence.